UACGUAGGGGGCAAGCGUUGUCCGGAAUCAUUGGGCGUAAAGCGCGUGUAGGCGGCCAGAAAAGUCCGCUGUGAAAACUCGAGGCUCAACUUCGAGCUGUCGGUGGAAACUUUCUGGCUAGAGUCCGGAAGAGGAGAAUGGAAUUCCUGGUGUAGCGGUGAAAUGCGCAGAUAUCAGGAAGAACACCCGUGGCGAAGGCAGCUCGCUGGGACGGUACUGACGCUAAGGCGCGAAAGCGUGGGGAGCGAACAGG
rnacentral:rRNA from 1 species